AAAUCCACAGCACUAGGCAGAAAAAGGAAUGAAAAACAAAAAGAUGUAAUUUCUUCCUUCCGCACACUCACAAUCUAGCUAAAUCCAUAUGACAUCCCACUGGGCAUUAUCAGUAGAGACUAUCAGAGAGUCUGUUGUAAGGACACUCAGUAUUGAUUUUAUUCCAGAUGUCUGCCCUGUUAUGUUGUCACGAGGCGUGUGGCACAAGCGUCAUUGUUGGGGUUCCUCCUGGUUCUAAUACCCUCUCUGUCAACCCUCUAGUGCUACUGACUGGCCGCACCUGGAAAGGAGGUAUUUUUGGAGGCUAUAAGAGUAAAGAAUCUGUCCCCAAACUUGUGGCUGAUUUUAUGGCUAAGAAGUUUCCAUUGGAUCCAUUAAUAACCAAUGUUAUGCCUUUUGAAAAA